ensembl:lncRNA
AUGGAGGAGGAGAAGGAGGUGAUGGAGGAGGAGAAGGAGAUAGAACAUCCUCUGCCAUGCCUCAGUGAAUCUGACACACAAGGCAUUAUCAAGGGCAGAGAUCUAUUCGGAUAUGUCGGCAUUGAGGCAGUGUUGGACCAGAUGAGACGCAAAACCAUGAAGGCUGGCUUUGAAUUUAAUAUCAUGGUGGUUGGUAAUUUUUUUAAGCAGGAUAUGUCCAGUUUGUAUUUGAACAGGAAAAAAUAUCAAGAGCAGAUCUCGAAAACUGUCCACCUGCAAUCAGUCAGCCACAUCAUUGAGGAGAAAGGGGUGAAGAUGAAGCUUACAGUAACUGACACCCCUGGAUUUGGAGACCAAAUCAACAAUGAGAACUGCUGGGAGCCCAUUGUACAAUAUGUCAAUGAACAGUAUGAAAAAUACCUGAAGGAGGAGCUGAAUGUCAACAGGAAGAAAAUAAUCCCUGACAGCCGCGUUCACGGUUGUGUCUACUUCCUGCCAGCCACUGGACACUGGUUACGGCCUAUAGAUGUAGAGUUUAUGAGGAGACUGGGGAAGAUAGUGAGCAUUGUCCCUGUGAUCGCCAAGGCAGACACACUUACUCUGGAGGAGCGGCUAGAGUUCAAACAGAGGAUAAGACAGGACCUGCAGGCCAACGGGAUCAGAGUGUAUCCACAGAAAGAAUAUGACGAGGACGCUGAAGACCGGAUACUCAAUGAUAAGAUUAGGGAAAACAUCCCCUUUGCUGUGGUGGGAACAGAUAAGGAGCACCAGGUGAAUGGGAACAAAGUCUUGGGAAGAAAAACUAAGUGGGGGAUCAUCGAAGUCGAAAAUGUUGCGCAUUGCGAGUUUGCACACUUGAGAGAUCUUCUUAUCAGGUCCCACCUGCAAGAUUUGAAGGACGUCACUCACAACAUUCACUAUGAGACCUACAGGGUGAAAAGACUUAACGAGAGCAAUGCCAAUGGACUGGCGCUCUCACCUUUGACCCUGGAGAACGGUACCCUAGAGAAGAGCGAUGCAGAGAGUCACCUUUGAAAGGGAAGGAGCGUGUGCCCAUCCUUCACCCCGUCAGAAUGGGAGAGAUGAACAUUUCACUUCUAGAUUGCCACCGAUGGAAAAUCGACCCGUUUGACUAAAGACAUUUCCACUUAGGCAUGUAAACGUCAUAUAUGAGUCUAUUUUUGAAAUGAAUCUAUAUUGUGGGUAGGGAUCUGGGAUGGAUUAUGGGUAGAAUUGAACCAGGUUUUGGCUAAGAAAAAGUUUCCCUCUAUUUUUCUCUCUCUUGAUAUCUUUGAUCUGUUUUCUGCCAAAUGAAUGGCACAGAGGGUUGGCAUGUUGGAAAAUGUGUGUGUGUGUUCCUGCACGCCUGACACCUCACUGGAUGAGAAAAUCCCAUAAUCCCUAUUUACACUGAACCAGCAAUGUGACAUGCUUCUUUUGAUCUUUUAUUUUCAUAAGUAAUUAUUUUAGUUUUUUUUUUUUUUACAGCAAAAUAUGAUCUUUCCCUGUACUUUUGUAAAAGAAGAGAUUAAAAAAAAAAGUUUAGACAAAUAUUUUUGUUACCAUAGCUGCUUUGAAGCUCAAGGUAUUUUCUUAGAGUUUCUUACUGCUAUCCAUAAAUGGCUGCUGUGAUGAUAGCAAAUAUGUUGAUAUAACGGGAAAUAUUUCAAAUAUAACCUCUGACCUUAAAGGUCUGGAAUGAAAUGUAAUACUAUUGAUCAUUUCUAAUGCAGAGAUGGAUAAAGGAACAAGAGAAAGUCGAUUCUUACUGAUGUUUGCCGAACAGUAACAGGUCAAGUUUACAGUUAUAUGUAGGGAUGUUUUUCUUUCACUAACCUAGUCAACUUGCCGUUUAAAGGUACACAUUGUGCUGUUUACUUCUCUCCACUGGACGUCAAGAGUCCAUCUUGCCCUGUAGCUUAUCAAAGCUAUUGUACAUAACCAUAAUGUGUUCUUAUUUUCUAUCACAGCAUCACAUUUUUUACUCAACAUGUAUUAGCGGCAUCAUCAUGAUGUCCUUGUUACUAAUAUUACU